GAGCGGCGUACGGGUGCGGAACACGUGUGCAACCUGCCUUUAUCUGGGGGAUAGCCUUUCGAAAGGGAGAUUAAUACCCCAUAAUAUAUUGAUUUGCAUGAAUUGAUAUUGAAAACUCCGGUGGAUAGAGAUGGGCACGCGCAAGAUUAGAUAGUCGGUGAGGUAACGGCUCACCAAGUCGAUGAUCUUUAGGGGGCCUGAGAGGGUGAUCCCCCACACUGGUACUGAGACACGGACCAGACUCCUACGGGAGGCAGCAGUGAGGAAUAUUGGACAAUGGGUGAGAGCCUGAUCCAGCCAUCCCGCGUGAAGGAUUAAGGACCUAUGGUUUGUAAACUUCUUUUUUACAGGGAUAAACCUAGAUACGUGUAUCUAGUUGAAGGUACUGUAAGAAUAAGCACCGGCUAACUCCGUGCCAGCAGCCGCGGUAAUACGGAGGGUGCAAGCGUUAUCCGGAUUUAUUGGGUUUAAAGGGUCCGUAGGCGGAUCGGUAAGUCAGUGGUGAAAUCUCAUAGCUUAACUAUGAAACUGCCAUUGAUACUGUCGGUCUUGAGUGUAUUUGAAGUAGCUGGAAUGAGUAGUGUAGCGGUGAAAUGCAUAGAUAUUACUCAGAACACCAAUUGCGAAGGCAGGUUACCUAAGAAUACAACUGGACGCUGAUGGACCAAAGCCGUCGGGGGAGCGAAACAGGGAUUUAGAU
rnacentral:rRNA from 1 species